rnacentral:rRNA from 1 species
GAUGAACGCUAGCUACAGGCUUAACACAUGCAAGUCGAGGGGCAGCAUGAUUGAAGCUUGCUUCAAUCGAUGGCGACCGGCGCACGGGUGAGUAACACGUAUCCAACCUGCCGAUAACUCGGGGAUAGCCUUUCGAAAGAAAGAUUAAUACCCGAUAGUAUAGUAUUUCCGCAUGGUUUCACUAUUAAAGAACUUCGGUUAUCGAUGGGGAUGCGUUCCAUUAGAUAGUUGGCGGGGUAACGGCCCACCAAGUCAACGAUGGAUAGGGGUUCUGAGAGGAAGGUCCCCCACAUUGGAACUGAGACACGGUCCAAACUCCUACGGGAGGCAGCAGUGAGGAAUAUUGGUCAAUGGACGAGAGUCUGAACCAGCCAAGUAGCGUGAAGGAUGACUGCCCUAUGGGUUGUAAACUUCUUUUAUACGGGAAGAAAGUGGAGUAUGCAUACUCCUUUGUAUGUACCGUAUGAAUAAGGAUCGGCUAACUCCGUG